CCUUUAUCAGGGGGAUAGCCUUUCGAAAGGAAGAUUAAUACCCCAUAAUAUAAUGAGUGGCAUCACUUAUUAUUGAAAACUCCGGUGGAUAGAGAUGGGCACGCGCAAGAUUAGAUAGUUGGUAGGGUAACGGCCUACCAAGUCAGUGAUCUUUAGGGGGCCUGAGAGGGUGAUCCCCCACACUGGUACUGAGACACGGACCAGACUCCUACGGGAGGCAGCAGUGAGGAAUAUUGGACAAUGGGUGAGAGCCUGAUCCAGCCAUCCCGCGUGAAGGACGACGGCCCUAUGGGUUGUAAACUUCUUUUGUAUAGGGAUAAACCUUUCCACGUGUGGAAAGCUGAAGGUACUAUACGAAUAAGCACCGGCUAACUCCGUGCCAGCAGCCGCGGUAAUACGGAGGGUGCAAGCGUUAUCCGGAUUUAUUGGGUUUAAAGGGUCCGUAGGCGGAUCUGUAAGUCAGUGGUGAAAUCUCAUAGCUUAACUAUGAAACUGCCAUUGAUACUGCAG
rnacentral:rRNA from 1 species